rnacentral:rRNA from 1 species
GACGAACGCUGGCGGCGUGCCUAAUGCAUGCAAGUAGAACGCUGAAGAGAGGAGCUUGCUCUUCUUGGAUGAGUUGCGAACGGGUGAGUAACGCGUAGGUAACCUGCCUUGUAGCGGGGGAUAACUAUUGGAAACGAUAGCUAAUACCGCAUAACAAUGGAUGACACAUGUCAUUUAUUUGAAAGGGGCAAUUGCUCCACUACAAGAUGGACCUGCGUUGUAUUAGCUAGUAGGUGAGGUAAUGGCUCACCUAGGCGACGAUACAUAGCCGACCUGAGAGGGUGAUCGGCCACACUGGGACUGAGACACGGCCCAGACUCCUACGGGAGGCAGCAGUAGGGAAUCUUCGGCAAUGGGGGCAACCCUGACCGAGCAACGCCGCGUGAGUGAAGAAGGUUUUCGGAUCGUAAAGCUCUGUUGUAAGUCAAGAACGGGUGUGAGAGUGGAAAGUUCACACUGUGACGGUAGCUUACCAGAAAGGGACGGCUAACUACGUG